UGAAAGCAGAGGUGGGCGGAU
ensembl:piRNA 21ur-1611 ncRNA